UACAGAGGUCCCAAGCGUUGUUCGGAUUCAUUGGGCGUAAAGGGUGCGUAGGCGGCGCGGUAAGUCGGGUGUGAAAUCUCGGAGCUUAACUCCGAAACUGCAUUCGAUACUGCCGUGCUUAAGGACUGGAGAGGAGACUGGAAUUUACGGUGUAGCGGUGAAAUGCGUAGAUAUCGUAAGGAAGACCAGUGGCGAAGGCGGGUCUCUGGACAGUUCCUGACGCUGAGGCACGAAGGCCAGGGGAGCAAACGGG
rnacentral:rRNA from 1 species